rnacentral:rRNA from 1 species
AUUGAACGCUGGCGGAAUGCUUUACACAUGCAAGUCGAACGGCAGCACGGACUUCGGUCUGGUGGCGAGUGGCGAACGGGUGAGUAAUGUAUCGGAACGUGCCCAGUCGUGGGGGAUAACGUAGUGAAAAUUACGCUAAUACCGCAUACGAUCUAUGGAUGAAAGCGGGGGAUCGCAAGACCUCGCGCGAUUGGAGCGGCCGAUAUCAGAUUAGGUAGUUGGUGGGGUAAAGGCCCACCAAGCCAACGAUCUGUAGCUGGUCUGAGAGGACGAGCAGCCACACUGGAAAGGAGACACGGUCCAGACUCCUACGGGAGGCAGCAGUGGGGAAUUUUGGACAAUGGGCGAAAGCCUGAUCCAGCCAUUCCGCGUGCAGGAUGAAGGCCCUCGGGUUGUAAACUGCUUUUGUACAGAACGAAAAGGUUUCUACUAAUACUAGGAGCUCAUGACGGUACUGUAAGAAUAAGCACCGGCUAACUACGUGCCAGCCGCCGCUGUAA